rnacentral:tRNA from 1 species
GCCCCGAUGGUGAAAUUGGUAGACACAAGAGACUUAAAAUCUCUCGCCUUUGCGGGCGUGCCGGUUCGAUUCCGGCUCGGGGCACCA